rnacentral:rRNA from 1 species
CGCGCAGGCGGCCAGGUCAGUCGAAUGUGAAAGCCCCCCGGCUCAACUGGGGAGGGUCAUUCGAUAACUGCCUGGCUUGAAGAUAGGAGAGGGAAGCGGAAUUUCAGGUGUAGUGGUGAAAUGCGUAGAUAUCUGAAGGAACACCAGUGGCGAAGGCGGCUUUCUGGCCUAUUCUUGACGCUGAGGCGCGAAAGCUAGGGGAGCGAACG